rnacentral:rRNA from 1 species
CCUACGGGUGGCAGCAGUAGGGAAUAUUGCUCAAUGGGCGAAACCCUGAAGCAGCUACGCCGCGUGGAUGAUGAAGGUUUUCGGAUUGUAAACUCCUUUUUUUAGAGAAGAUAAUGACGUUAUCUAACGAAUAAGGACCGGCUAACUCCGUGCCAGCAGCCGCGGUCAUACGGAGGGUGCAAGCGUUAAUCGGAAUCACUGGGCGUAAAGAGCGCGUAGGCGGGAUAUCAAGUCAGAUGUGAAAUCCUAGGGCUCAACCAUAGAACUGCAUUUGACACUGUUAUUCUAGAGUAUGGGAGAGGUAGGUGGAAUUCUUGGUGUAGGGGUAAAAUCCGUAGAGAUCAAGAGGAAUACUCAUGGCGAAGGCGACCUGCUAGAACAUAACUGACGCUGAUGCGCGAAAGCGUGGGGAGCAAACAGGAUUAGAUACCCUUGUAGUC